rnacentral:rRNA from 1 species
AGAACGAACGCUGGCGGCAUGCCUAAUACAUGCAAGUCGAACGAACUCUUCGGAGUUAGUGGCGCACGGGUGCGUAACGCGUGGGAAUCUGCCCCUUGGUUCGGAAUAACAGUUGGAAACGACUGCUAAUACCGGAUGAUGACGAAAGUCCAAAGAUUUAUCGCCAAGGGAUGAGCCCGCGUAGGAUUAGCUAGUUGGUGAGGUAAAGGCUCACCAAGGCAACGAUCCUUAGCUGGUCUGAGAGGAUGAUCAGCCACACUGGGACUGAGACACGGCCCAGACUCCUACGUGAGGCAGC